CAAAAAUAUUGUAAUGACCUUUAUAUAACUUCUAGAUAGAUAAAACAAUAACACUAAAAGAAGUUCAAUAAAAGGGAGCGAAUACUUUACACAAAAAGAAAUGUUUGUCAAUACAGUACAUCAGUUGAAAAUCAUAAUUGGUAUAAAACAAACCAAUCAGCAAUUCUAAGUUAACCUUACAGCUUCAUGGGUCCUGUUGGUAUAAAGCAGUGAUGCCCAACCUAAUUCAAUCUGCUGGCCAUUUUAAUUUCCAACACUAGUGUCGCAGGCCACAUGAUCGAAAAGAUAUAAAAACUUAAUAAAAUUGAAAAGAAACUAUUUUUAUUUCAAACCCGAGGAUCUAGUACUUACAUUGAAUUAUUGGGAUAUUUGAAUUUUCUUUUUACACUUAAAAAAAUGGUUUAGUUGUGUUGAUAUUUGUUUGUUCUUGUUUUUUAAAAACAGCCACAUGUUGCCUAGCAAUGGUAUCAUGUAGUACAAAAAAAGUAAAGAUCCGUUCGCUUUUCCUAGUAGAUUCUAUACUCCUAGUUCAUGAACGCACAAAUGUUUAAUGCCUUGGUAGUAAUUCAUUAGAAAAAAGUGAGGACCCUAUCAUAGGUAAAGAUACAUAUUAAACAUUUUUUAAGGGGGGGGGGGGGGGGGG